AUGGUAUGCAUUUGUAUAUUUUGAAGCGUAAGAAAAAAGGUAAAUUCCUUGAUCGCCAUGACCCCCAUGGCAAUUAAUUGGGGAAUCUAUCAUCACCUACCAAUACAGGUGACCUAUCUUAAAGCAGCCCAUUAGUCACUGCCGGAAUUCAUCAGCCCUUUUCUCUCGCAAGGCAGGACUCUUCGAAAAAAAAAACGGAAUUUCAGGGCACUCUGCUGCAGUGGUCCUUGACUCAACCAAUGUUCUGGGAAUCUCAGUGCCUUUCAUCUUACAUCAAAAAGUCGUUUUUAACUUUUGAAGAUUCAAACUGCUUCUGUUUGGAGGGUGAAAGUGGAUGAAGAUUAAAGCCAUACUACUUUUUCA